GAAUACUCAUGGUCCAAAAAGGUGGAUCGAGAAGGAGCCAUGCUAACAGUUCUUGGAACAUGUAAACUAGUUUGGGGAAAAGUCUAAAUAUGCAUAAUUGUUUGUGAAUACGCAAUAGGCUGACGCAAUGGAAAAGGACAAGCAGUCAUCUCCUACUCCUGACUCAGCCCAGUGUAGUACAUACAUGUAAUGUGUGCAUUUGUGAUUGCAACAUGUGUGGAGACCGACAAUGGGACAUGUAUAAAGAUGGAUUCUAAUAAUAACUGAGGAAAGUAAAGCAUGGAAGAAGGCCUUUGAACCCAUCUUUUGUUUGCAAUUAACCCUGGUUGAUUUAGGAGCAUUGGAAUUAAAGUGUUAAGGAUGUUGCUUUUUGUUUGUAGUUAAGCCUUAAAGAGUUCUGCAAUAAUAACCUUUUGAAGUAUAAUUUUAGAAUAUUGCUUGUAUCCUUGAAACUAUGGCUUUCGAAUAUAUAUAUAAAGGAAAUAUGCUUAUGUCACGCCUUAAUAAAGCAGAGAAAAGCAGCUUGAGAAAGGAAGAUGGACAUCAACUCAAGGAUUUAUAGUUUGGACCAGGGUAAGCUGGACAUCACUGUUAUGAGAUUUAUAGUCCUUGCAAUUAAAAGGUGGUCACACAUCUGGGGAGCUGGACCCCACCAGAUGGGAUUUGUCUUCCUUCUUUCAGAAACUGGACCACCACCACCUG